CUGGUUGAUCCUGCCAGUAGUCAUAUGCUUGUCUUAAAGAUUAAUCCAUGCAUGUGUAAGUAUAAGUAUUGUACAGCGAAACUGCGAAUGGCUCAUUACAUCAGUUAUAAUUUAUUUGAUAAUCGAAAGUUACAUGGAUAACCGUGACAAAUUACAGCUAAUACAUGCAGUCAGACCUGGUCCAAGGGUCGUAAUUAUUAGUAUUAAACCAUUUCCGCAAGGAGUGUGAUGAUUCAUAAUAAUCGAACGAAUCGCCUGUUGUGCGAUAAAUCAUUCAAGUUUCUGCCCUAUCAGCUUUGGAUGGUAGUGUAUUGGACUACCAUGGCAGUCACGGGUAACGGAGAAUUAGGGUUCGAUUCCGGAGAGGGAGCCUGAGAAACGGCUACCACAUCUACGGAAGGCAGCAGGAGCGAAAAUUGCCCAAUCCCGACACGGGGAGGCAGUGACGAGAAAUAACAACUCUUGGUUAUUCUAAGAAGUGUAAUGAGGAUAAUUUAAAAACCUUACCGAAAGCAAUUGGAGGGCAAGUCUGGU
rnacentral:rRNA from 1 species